UGUUGAGGCCAAGAAACAGUGGAAAAGCACAGUCAGAGAGGGAACAGAAAGGGGGCUGAUAUGGAAGUACAUGUUCCAUCUCCAAUCAGUCUACACUGAGUUAAGACUAUGGUUCCCACACCGGGCCCUGCGGCAGAAUCGCCUGGCAAGGUCAGUGAACAUGCAGGUUCUUGGCCCCACUGCCAUCCUGCCAAGUCAAACCCACAUGGGGUGGGGAAAUUUGGGUGUGUGUGUGUGUGUGUGUGUGUGUGUGUGUUCAAUGAGGUCCCCUGGGAUUCUAAUGCCACAUGCCUCAACUCUGAGUUUGAAAUUGUUUGAUUGGUGAGCAAAUUGCACGCAAGUUGGUGAUGCUCUCACUCAAGGCCACAGGCAGCCCUCCAAGGACAGACCCUGAACCCAGAACGUGGAAUGGGCAGGCCAGGUCGACUCCCAGGGAAGCACUGCACAGCCUGAGCAUGUGCUCACCUUAGGUUGGUUGGGCUUCCAUUCCUCCCCAGAACCUCUUUUCUAGCACUUCGUGGUUUUCUUUGACAAAAUCAACUAUAGCUGAACGACUUUGAACUGCACAGGCGCACAUAUUGGUGGUGGGUCUUUUUCAGUAAAUACGGCACAGUACUACAAAUGUAUUUUCUCUUAUUCAUGGUUUUCUUAACAUUUUCUUUCCCCUAGCUUACUUUAUCGUGAGAAUACAGUAUAUGAUAUAUUUAAUGUAUAAAAUAUGGGUGAAUCUACUGUGCAUGCUAUUGGUAAGGCUUCUGAUCAACAGUAGGCUAUUACCAGUUAAGUUUUGGGGGAGUCAAAAGUUAGGUAUGAAGUUUUGACUGAGCUAUGGGUCAGUGCCCCUAACCCCUCUGUUGUUCAAGAGUCAGCUAUAUUACAAAUAUUUGAUGAUAGAAACUUGAAUGUUGACUUCCUUCCUGUUUAACAUAUUUGUCAACCAAUCUUACCUAUCAGAGGUAAGUGGAAACUUAUCAGCGCCUGGCUCAUUCAAGACAAGCCUGGGGUCACUAAACCAUUAUCUUAUUUACUUUCGAGUUUCUGUUUGCCUGAUCUGUUUUACCUUCCACUGCAAAGUGAUUUGGAAAGUCGGGAUUAGACCACUACCCCUGAGAGAAACGGCUUGGGCAGAUGAGACAGUGCCUCUGUUUCUUUCGGCUUUGUUUGCUCCUAAGGGUGUAGUGAAAAACAGACUCCACAGAGGCUAG
rnacentral:lncRNA from 1 species